CUGCAUUUGCUGAUGAGCUGUGUGAAGGCCCGAAGAUGGCAGCCACCCCAAGAGACAGCUGAUCACAGGCUGAAGAGGAGAUAAAGGCAACUAAGAGAAUCAUGUGGAUCACAUUGUGUUCCUUCCAGAAAUCCAAAAGAACCCAAAGCAGAUGUGGGAAAAAAAUGUAAAAAACUGUCCAAGGAAAACGUAAAUGUGUAAG